AGAUCCAGGCAUCUGUGUGCUCUCGGGGGCCUGGAAAGUCCCCUGCCCAUGCAGGCCUGGAAGUGCCUGCUCCAGUUCGGAGCAAAGUUGUGGCUGAGCUUGGGUGCUGUCACAACCUGGCCAGGUGUGUGCAUCCUCAGGGUGGUGCUGACAUGUCAGGUUCCUGCUAUACUAUUCAUUAAGUGCCCAGGCAUCUUACACUCAUCACCUUUAACUCUUUACUCAGGCAUGUGGCAGUGUCACCAUUUUAUAGAUAAGACCAAAGCCAGUAGCUGUAAAGUAUUAGGCUUGAACUUAGCAGUUCUCAGAGGAGUACCUGGCCGUGUGAGGUGUCAGUCUGCCCCUACUGUCUAGGCACCUCCCAUGUAUUCACUUAUUUUACCUUCACAGCCUCCAAUGAAGUAAGUGCUAGUAUUAUUAUCUCAGUUAUUUUUUUACCAGAUUACACUGCUCCUAAUUCUCACAGCUAAACAUUCUCUUUUAUUUCCUUCAUAUUUCAAAUAAAUUGAACAUUUGUGUGCAAAUAGGCAUUCAUAUGAUAAUAAGACCUUGUUAUGUACAGAGUUUUAUCCCCCCAAAAUUUAUAUGUUGAAGCCCAAGUUUCCAGCGUGACUGUAUUUGGAGACUGAACCUGUAAGGAAGUAAUAAAGGUUAAGUGAGGUCUAAGGGUUGAGGCCCUAAUCCAGUGGGAUUGGUGGCCUCAUAAAAGGAGGAAGAAAUGUGAAAGAACACUCUGCAUGUGCAUGCAGUGAGAGAGGGCCACGUGAGGUCACAGCCUCUGCAAGCCGGGAAGAGAGCCUUCACCAGAAAUUGAAUUGGCCCGAGCCUUGAUCUUGGACUUUCAGCCUCCAUAACUGUGAGAAAACAAAUUUCUGUUGUUUAAGCCACCCGAUCUGUGGUAUUUUGUUAUAGCAGCCCAAGCAAACUAAUAUACACAUAUAUAAACAAGCAAAUGUAGGAGUACACAUUGUUGUAGAAAAUAAAAAAGGUCUUGCUUCCCCAGAUCCCACUGCACAUCUUUGAAAACUUUGUCAGCUGCUUUCUGCCUUCAUAAGAAUACAAUCCUGCCAAGUCAGUUUACCCACCCAGACCACCUUACAGUCAGACCUCCAUCAAUUCUGAUAGGAAGGAGUGGUUUUGUUCCUGAAUGAACUGUUUGUUAAACCAAGAAGAAUGCGGGCAGUAUAGCAAAGCUUGACUCUACCAUGGUCCUGAGUGAAUUCUGACCAAGACAGACAGCUUUAUCAGUGGUGUUAGAUCUGGCUGCCGGGAAUGUGGCGUGCCAGCACAGCCUCUCUCUUGCUGCAGUGCCUUUGUCCACAGAUAAGUUUCCUGAUUAGCACUUCACCCUCCCUGCCCAGUGUCUUUCCAUCCUUGUCCCUUAGAAUUCAUUCUUACACAGAGCAGCCAGAGUGAUCUUCAAAACAGAAAUUCGAUCAUUCACUUCCCCUCCAUAGGCUUUCCAGAGCACCUAAAAGAAACCCCAAACCGUUUACUUUGGUGUAUGAAGCCUUACAUGGCCUGCCUCCUGCCUUCCUGUCUGACCUGCGAGUCCUGCCAGUACUUUCCAGUCACACUGGCCUUUUGGUUUUGAACGUACCGACUUUACCCUACCGUGAGCCUUUGAACCAACGGUGCUGCUGCCUGAAAAGCUCUGCCCCCAUCUUUGCACAGCUGGCUCCUUUUCUUGUCAUUAAAUGUCCCCUCUUCAGAGAUGCCUUCCUUCACCACCCAGUCUACUGUUGUUCCCUAGUCCUCUCUAACAUAUCACUUUAUUUUUAUUUUCUGUACAACACUUACUCCUAUUUGAUUUGGUUGUUUUUUGGUUUAUUGUCUCUCUCUUCCUAGCAGAGUGUAAGCUCUAAGAGUACUGGAACCCUUUCUUUCUUCUGUACUUACUGGUUAUUGCAGCAUCUAGAGCAGUAUCUUCCACAGAUGGGCCUCUAAAAAACAUUUUUGAGUAAAUGAAUGAACCAGUGAACAAACUGGUAGGCUGGAGCCCCAGGGCCAGGGCAAGUACUCCUGCAGGGCCCAUCUUUCUCAAGACUCAUAUUCUUUUCCCAUAUCCUCAGUCACUUGGGCCCUGCUGUCAACAGAAAGGCCCUCUACGGCCUAGAGACACACUU
rnacentral:lncRNA from 1 species